rnacentral:rRNA from 1 species
UACGAAGGGUGCAAGCGUUAAUCGGAAUUACUGGGCGUAAAGCGUGCGCAGGCGGUUUGUUAAGUCUGUUGUGAAAUCCCCGAGCUCAACUUGGGAAUUGCAAUGGAUACUGGCAGGCUGGAGUAUGGUAGAGGAAGGUGGAAUUCCCGGUGUAGCAGUGAAAUGCGUAGAGAUCGGGAGGAACACCAGUGGCGAAGGCGGCCUUCUGGACCAAUACUGACGCUCAUGCACGAAAGCGUGGGGAGCAAACAGG